rnacentral:rRNA from 1 species
UACGGAGGGGACAAGCGUUGUUCGGAAUUACUGGGCGUAAAGCGCACGUAGGCGGCUUUGUAAGUCAGGGGUGAAAGCCUGGAGCUCAACUCCAGAACUGCCUUUGAGACUGCAUCGCUUGAAUCCGGGAGAGGUAAGUGGAAUUCCGAGUGUAGAGGUGAAAUUCGUAGAUAUUCGGAAGAACACCAGUGGCGAAGGCGGCUUACUGGACCGGGAUUGACGCUGAGGUGCGAAAGCGUGGGAGCAAACAGGAU